rnacentral:rRNA from 1 species
AACGAACGCUGGCGGCGUGCCUAACACAUGCAAGUCGUGCGAGAACGCUUCCUUCGGGAUGUUAGUAAAGCGGCGCACGGGUGAGUAACACGUAGGUAAUCUACCUCGAAGUCUGGGAUAACUGGCCGAAAGGUCAGCUAAUACCGGAUAAGACCACGACCUCCUCCGGGGGUUGCGGCCAAAGGCGGCCUCUUCAUGAAAGCUGUCGCUACGGGAUGAGCCUGCGGCCCAUUAGCUAGUUGGUGAGGUAAAGGCUUACCAAGGCAAUGAUGGGUAGCUGGUCUGAGAGGAUGAUCAGCCACACUGGAACUGAGACACGGUCCAGACUCCUACGGGAGGCAGCAGUGGGGAAUAUUGCGCAAUGGGGGAAACCCUGACGCAGCGACGCCGCGUGGGUGAUGAAGGCCUUCGGGUCGUAAAGCCCUGUCGUAGGGGAAGAAAUCGUUGUCGGUUAAUACCCGGCAGCGUUGACGGUACCCUACAAGAAAGCACCGGCUAACUCCGUG